AUUGAACGCUGGCGGCAGGCCUAACACAUGCAAGUCGAGCGCGAAAGUUCUUCGGAAUGAGUAAAGCGGCGGACGGGUGAGUAGUACAUGGGAAUCUGCCUGGUAGUGGGGGACAACGUUUCGAAAGGAACGCUAAUACCGCAUACGCCCUACGGGGGAAAGGGGGGGAUCUUCGGACCUCUCGCUAUCAGAUGAGCCCA
rnacentral:rRNA from 1 species